CUUUCCCUCUUUCUUCCUGCCUAACACAUGCAAGUCGAGCGGAUGAAGGGAGCUUGCUCCUGGAUUCAGCGGCGGACGGGUGAGUAAUGCCUAGGAAUCUGCCUGGUAGUGGGGGAUAACGUCCGGAAACGGGCGCUAAUACCGCAUACGUCCUGAGGGAGAAAGUGGGGGAUCUUCGGACCUCACGCUAUCAGAUGAGCCUAGGUCGGAUUAGCUAGUUGGUGGGGUAAAGGCCUACCAAGGCGACGAUCCGUAACUGGUCUGAGAGGAUGAUCAGUCACACUGGAACUGAGACACGGUCCAGACUCCUACGGGAGGCAGCAGUGGGGAAUAUUGGACAAUGGGCGAAAGCCUGAUCCAGCCAUGCCGCGUGUGUGAAGAAGGUCUUCGGAUUGUAAAGCACUUUAAGUUGGGAGGAAGGGCAGUAAGUUAAUACCUUGCUGUUUUGACGUUACCAACAGAAUAAGCACCGGCUAACUUCGUG
rnacentral:rRNA from 1 species